rnacentral:tRNA from 1 species
GAGCUGGGGCUCAGUGGUAGAGCGCUUUCCCGGCACGUGUGAGGCCCUGGGUCCGAUCCUCAGCACCACA